UACGUAGGGACCAAGCGUUGUUCGGAUUUACUGGGCGUAAAGGGCGCGUAGGCGGCCUAACAAGUCACUUGUGAAAUCUCCGGGCUUAACUCGGAACGGUCAACUGAUACUGCUCGACUAGAGUGCGGAAGGGGCAACUGGAAUUCUUGGUGUAGCGGUGAAAUGCGUAGAUAUCGUAAGGAAGACCAGUGGCGAAGGCGGGUCUCUGGACAGUUCCUGACGCUGAGGCACGAAGGCCAGGGGAGCAAACGGG
rnacentral:rRNA from 1 species